AAUGCGUUAGCGUAGAACUCCCGCACUGUAGCGAUGUCAUAGUGUUCCAAGGGAUUUAUCAACCUAUCCCAUUUCUUUGUAUCAAUCAACCCGGCAAAACUCCGAUACGUGCCCUGUGGGUUGAUCAGAAACCGCUUCUCAGGCAAAAUGUUUCGCUUCUCCAAAGCGAUGUACCGUGCCGCUUGUUUCGGGCCCACAAACUUGUCGUGGUCGAAUUGGAUCGGCACGGUUCGUGAAGUAGUUGCCGCUCCCUUUCUUUUCUUGCCAGCACUAGAUCUUGACUCCAUUCUGCAAAACAAGAGAUAAAGCAACAAACACGAAACAAACAGAUUAGA
rnacentral:lncRNA from 1 species